CCUACGGGAGGCAGCAGUGGGGAAUAUUGCACAAUGGGGGAAACCCUGAUGCAGCGACGCCGCGUGAAGGAAGACGUAUUUCGGUAUGUAAACUUCUAUCAGCAGGGAAGAAAGUGACGGUACCUGACUAAGAAGCCCCGGCUAACUACGGGCCAGCAGCCGCGGUAAUACGUAGGGGGCAAGCGUUAUCCGGAUUUACUGGGUGUAAAGGGAGAGUAGGCGGCUUAGCAAGUCAGAAGUGAAAGCCCGGGGCUCAAAUUCGGGAGUGCUUUUGAAACUGUUGAACUAGAGUGCAGGAGAGGUAAGUGGAAUUCCUAGUGUAGCGGUGAAAUGCGUAGAUAUUAGGAGGAACACCAGUGGCGAAGGCGGUCUGCUGGACAGCAACUGACGGUGAGGCGCGAAAGCGUGGGGAGCAAACAGGAUUAGAUACCCGGGUAGUC
rnacentral:rRNA from 1 species